CNUACGGGAGGCAGCAGUGAGGAAUAUUGGACAAUGGGNGNGANCCUGAUCCAGCCAGCCGCGUGCAGGAAGACUGCCCUAUGGGUUGUAAACUGCUUUUUUACGGGAAGAAACACUCNCGUGUNGGGGCUUGACGGUACCGUAAGAAUAAGGAUCGGCUAACUCCGUGCCAGCAGCCGCGGUAAUACGGAGGAUCCGAGCGUUAUCCGGAAUCAUUGGGUUUAAAGGGUCCGUAGGCGGGCUUAUAAGUCAGCGGUGAAANUCUGCAGCUCAACUGUAGAAUUGCCAUUGAUACUGUUAGUCUUGAAUUACUGUGAAGUGGUUAGAAUAUGUAGUGUAGCGGUGAAAUGCUUAGAUAUUACAUGGAAUACCAAUUGCGAAGGCAGAUCACUAACANUAUAUUGACGCUGAGGGACGAAAGCGUGGGUAGCGAACAGGAUUAGAUACCCUGGUAGUCCACGCCGUAAACGAUGGAUACUAGCUGUUGGGCANANUCAGUGGCUAAGCGAAAUAAGU
rnacentral:rRNA from 1 species